rnacentral:rRNA from 1 species
CGGGACACGUGGUAUCCUGUCUGAAUAUGGGGGGACCAUCCUCCAAGGCUAAAUACUCCUGACUGACCGAUAGUGAACCAGUACCGUGAGGGAAAGGCGAAAAGAACCCCGGCGAGGGGAGUGAAAAAGAACCUGAAACCGUGUACGUACAAGCAGUGGGAGCACGCUUAGGCGUGUGACUGCGUACCUUUUGUAUAAUGGGUCAGCGACUUAUAUUCUGUAGCAAGGUUAACCGAAUAGGGGAGCCGAAGGGAAACCGAGUCUUAACUGGGCGUUAAGUUGCAGGGUAUAGACCCGAAACCCGGUGAUCUAGCCAUGGGCAGGUUGAAGGUUGGGUAACACUAACUGGAGGACCGAACCGACUAAUGUUGAAAAAUUAGCGGAUGACUUGUGGCUGGGGGUGAAAGGCCAAUCAAACCGGGAGAUAGCUGGUUCUCCCCGAAAGCUAUUUAGGUAGCGCCUCGUGAAUUCAUCUCCGGGGGUAGAGCACUGUUUCGGCAAGGGGGUCAUCCCGACUUACCAACCCGAUGCAAACUGCGAAUACCGGAGAAUGUUAUCACGGGAGACACACGGCGGGUGCUAACGUCCGUCGUGAAGAGGGAAACAACCCAGACCGCCAGCUAAGGUCCCAAAGUCAUGGUUAAGUGGGAAACGAUGUGGGAAGGCCCAGACAGCCAGGAUGUUGGCUUAGAAGCAGCCAUCAUUUAAAGAAAGCGUAAUAGCUCACUGGUCGAGUCGGCCUGCGCGGAAGAUGUAACGGGGCUAAACCAUGCACCGAAGCUGCGGCAGCGACGCUUAUGCGUUGUUGGGUAGGGGAGCGUUCUG